GUACUUGCUUUGGCAGCACAUAUAACAAAACUGGAACGACACAGAGAAGAUUGGCACAGGCCCUGUGCAAGGAUGACACACGCCUUCAAGAAGAGUUCCACAUCUUU
ensembl:snRNA U6 U6 spliceosomal RNA